rnacentral:rRNA from 1 species
UGGGGAAUAUUGCACAAUGGAGGGAACUCUGAUGCAGCGACGCCGCGUGAGUGAUGAAGGAAUUCGUUUCGUAAAACUCUGUUCUAUGGGAAGAAAAGGACUGUACUAUAGGAGAAAGCUCCGGCUAAAUACGUGCCAGCAGCCGCGGUAAUACGUAUGGAGCGAGCGUUGUCCGGAAUUAUUGGGCGUAAAGGGUGCGCAGGCGGCUUUACAAGUUGGAUGUGAAAUAUUGUGGCUCAACCACAAACGUGCAUCCAAAACUGCAAAGCUUGAGUUAAGGAGAGGUAAGUGGAAUUCCUGGUGUAGCGGUAAAAUGCGUAGAUAUCAGGAAGAAUACCGGUGGCGAAGGCGACUUACUGGACUUAAACUGACGCUCAGGCACGAAAGCGUGGGGAGCAAACAGG